CAGUCGCCGCGGGAAUACGGAGGGUGCGAGCGUUAAUCGGAAUUACUGGGCGUAAAGGGUGCGUAGGCGGUUGUUUAAGUCUGUUGUGAAAUCCCCGGGCUCAACCUGGGAAUGGCAAUGGAAACUGGACGGCUAGAGUGUGUCAGAGGAUGGCGGAAUUCCCGGUGUAGCGGUGAAAUGCGUAGAGAUCGGGAGGAACAUCAGUGGCGAAGGCGGCCAUCUGGGACAACACUGACGCUGAAGCACGAAAGCGUGGGGAGCAAACAGGAUUAGAUACCCCCGUAGUCCCUGUCUCUUAUAC
rnacentral:rRNA from 1 species